rnacentral:lncRNA from 1 species
AGAGCCGGGCCUGAGGAGCUCGCAGCCAAGACCUUCACCAGCAACCAUUCCUGCUGUGCCCUGAGGCGUUGGAAACAUUCCACAGAGUAACAGGGCAGCUAUUCUUUAGUAACAAAAAUGUGUCUACUGAGAUGAGAGAAAGCGUAAUAAAUCUUCAUAUCUGCCAUCAAAACAGGACCAGAAGAGAGAAGUCAUGUCUUGAGUGAACCUUACACACUGAAAAUGUCACAAGGAAGUUUUUUAGUAUCUGUGGAUGCUGUAAAAACAGAUUAAAUUCUAGCAAAAGAGAUAUCAUUACAAAUCUUAUUAAAAAAGAUCAAGAUGAAUACAGUGCUGUGUCUAUAAUUCCAACCUCUCAGGGUUCAGCUGGGAACAUUAAACAGGAGCGAAGCAUCCACAGCUGACAGCAAGGAAAAGUCUCAAAGGGAAUCUUUGUCUUCUGGGUAUCACAUGUUUAAAAGUCUCUUCCAUCCAAAGAAAACUACACCAAGGCAGCCUUUACCUGCACACUUCAACAAGUCUCCUGUUGUGUCUGUUUUGUGUUUCUCAUCUAUGGGGAAACCCUGAGCUAAACACUCAGCAUUUUUAUUCA